rnacentral:tRNA from 1 species
AGGAUUAUAAUUUAACAAAAAUAUCUGAUUUGCAUUCAGAAAAUAUUGAAUUUUCAAUUUAUCUUA